rnacentral:rRNA from 1 species
UACGUAGGGUGCGAGCGUUAAUCGGAAUUACUGGGCGUAAAGCGUGCGCAGGCGGUUCGUUAUGUCCGAUGUGAAAGCCCCGAGCUCAACUUGGGAAUGGCAUUGGAAACUGGCGGGCUGGAGUGUGGCAGAGGGGGGUGGAAUUCCGACGUGUAGCAGUGAAAUGCGUAGAGAUGUGGAGGAACACCGAUGGCGAAGGCAGCCCCCUGGGCCAACACUGACGCUCAGGCACGAAAGCGUGGGGAGCAAACAGG